GACGAACCGUGCGAACGUUGUCCGGAUUUAUUGGGCGUAAAGAGCGUGUAGGCGGCCAGGUAGGUCUGCUGUGAAAACUCGAGGCUUAACCUCGAGCUGUCGGCGGAAACCAUCUGGCUAGAGUCCGGAAGAGGAGAAUGGAAUUCCCGGUGUAGCGGUGAAAUGCGCAGAUAUCGGGAAGAACACCCGUGGCGAAGGCGGUUCUCUGGGACGGUACUGACGCUGAGACGCGAAAGCGUGGGGAGCGAACAGG
rnacentral:rRNA from 1 species